GUAGUUCCUCCCUCUCGUCUUCAUUUUAUUUUGUUUCCUUCUGUCUUCAUUUUUCUCCCAAACCCUAAAUCGCUCUCUCCUCUCUCUGCUGCCUUCAUUUUCCCCAAACCCCUUCCUCGCGCCAUCUUAUUGUCUUAUUGGCUUCGUUAUCAGGUAAUUUUCUUCAUGUAAUUUUCUUAAAGUAGGUUUUUCUUACAGUAUGGCAUUCACAUCUUGAUAGUAAUUUUCUUUGUGUAAUUUGUGGACUGAGCGAGGGUCUUCCCCUGCUUGGGAACGAGGCGUCGAGGCUGCAUUUGUGGGCUGAGCAAGGCAUCGAGGUGUCUUCUUGUUCGUUGAGGCGUCGGAUUGUAACCCUGCUAUUGAUAAAGGUGUGGCUCAUGAGUCUGUUGGAGUAAAACCAACGACCUUGGUUCCAAAAGAAAUCCCUGUUAAAGAUAAACAUUGUCCCCAAAGCAACACUAAAUAAACAUAGGUAUGAUGAGUAGAUGGUGAGGAAAAUCUUUUGACUUGGUUGGUCGACUUAUUUUCACAGAAUAUUUUCUACACCUCUUUUAAUAAAGUUCUGUUGGUCGUGACCACAUGAAGUUUUACAUCAAGAAAUAAUGUCAGGUUGCCUUGGCAACACUCUUGCCGUGAUGAAGAAAUCCUCUAAGUUUCUACCGGUAUGUUAUGUGAGAGCUUGUUGAAUUCUCAGAGAUUUGCCGUGAUUGUUGAAUUAUUGAUGGUUAAUUUGUCGGAUGCUCUAAACUGAGAAAAAAAUUCUCAGAGUCAUUUUAGCGAAAGAAGAUUUGGCACCUGAUGUUGAUUUUGAAGCACUGAUGGAUAUUCUGGGAGUGAUCUAAAGAAUCUUUGUGCACAGCAGUUCACUGCCCAAUACGAGAGAUCUUAGCGAAAGAAAAGAAGGAGAAAAGCUUAGUAGUACCUGAGAACAAACCUUUACCUGGAUUGUGUGGCAGCUCCGACAUUCGGCCUUUGAAGAUUGAUUAUUUUAGAUAUGCACAUGAGCAGGGAUUUGCUAUACCAAAAGAUGUACAAGGAAAAGUUGCAAAAUUUGAUUUUCAUGGACAGCCAGCGGAGCUCAAACAAAAUUAGACAUUGUUUAUUAGUUUCUUUUUUUAGUAAUGUAACGAACAUAGUUUUAGUAUGUUAAUUUAGAAUUGAACAUCUUUAUUUUUAAUAUAUGAAUAAUUAGUUGUAUAAACAUAUUAAUAUGAUGAACAAUGUAGUUUAUUUUAUAUAUAAUAUUCAGUUUUAUUUUAUAUUA